GAUGAACGCUGGCGGCGUGCCUAAUACAUGCAAGUCGAGCGAACAGACGAGGAGCUUGCUCCUCUGACGUUAGCGGCGGACGUGUGAGUAACACGUGGAUAACCUACCUAUAAGACUGGGAUAACUUCGGGAAACCGGAGCUAAUACCGGAUAAUAUAUUGAACCGCAUGGUUCAAUAGUGAAAGACGGUUUUGCGGUCACUUAUAGAUGGAUCCGCGCCGCAUUAGCUAGUUGGUAAGGUAACGGCUUACCAAGGCAACGAUGCGUAGCCGACCUGAGAGGGUGAUCGGCCACACUGGAACUGAGACACGGUCCAGACUACUACGGGAGGCAGCAGUAGGGAAUGUUACGCAAUGGGCGAAAGCCUGACGGAGCAACGCCGCGUGAGUGAUGAAGGUCUUCGGAUCGUAAAACUCUGUUAUUAGGGAAGAACAAAUGUGUAAGUAACUAUGCACGUCUUGACGGUACCUAAUCAGAAAGCCACGGCUAACUACGUG
rnacentral:rRNA from 1 species